rnacentral:rRNA from 1 species
UUCGGGGGGCAAGUAAAGUGGCGCACGGGUGAGUAACGCGUGGAUAAUCUACCUCGUUCUGGGGGAUAACCCAUCGAAAGGUGGGCUAAUACCGCAUAAUCCGGCUAAAUUUUGGUUUGGUCGGCAAAGGUGGCCUCUUCAUGAAAGCUACCGGGAAGAGAUGAGUCCGCGUCCCAUUAGCUUGUUGGUAGGGUAACGGCCUACCAAGGCGACGAUGGGUAGCUGGUCUGAGAGGACGAUCAGCCACACUGGAACUGGUACACGGUCCAGACUCCUACGGGAGGCAGCAGUGAGGAAUAUUGCGCAAUGGGGGAAACCCUGACGCAGCGAUGCCGCGUGAGUGAAGAAGGCCUUCGGGUCGUAAAGCUCUGUCAAGUGGGAAGAAUAGCGGCGGGACGAAUAAUCCCGUCGUGUGACGGUACCACUGAAGGAAGCACCGGCUAACUCCGUGCCAGCAGCCGCGGUAAGACGGAGGGUGCAAGCGUUAUUCGGAUUUAUUGGGCGUAAAGAGCGUGUAGGCGGCCGGUCAAGCCAGAUGUGAAAGCCCAGGGCUUAACCCUGGAAGUGCAUUUGGAACUGGUUGGCUUGAGUUCGGGAGAGGGAAGUGGAAUUCCGGGUGU